rnacentral:rRNA from 1 species
UACAGAGGGGGCAAGCGUUGUUCGGAAUUACUGGGCGUAAAGGGCGCGUAGGCGGCCUUCUAAGUCGAACGUGAAAUCCCCGGGCUCAACCCGGGAACUGCGUCCGAUACUGGAAGGCUUGAAUCCGGGAGAGGGAUGCGGAAUUCCAGGUGUAGCGGUGAAAUGCGUAGAUAUCUGGAGGAACACCGGUGGCGAAGGCGGCGUUCUGGACUGCAACUGACACUGAGAAACGAAAGCCAGGGUAGCAAACGGG